CUGAAAUUUAGUGUUACAUCAUACACUGCUGAAACUGUUCCCCUGAGACACUGGACAGCAGUGGUGAAACCUUUGGUUCUGGGCAACAGGUGGUACUUCAGUUUGGGCAGCCCCUUGGAUUCAGCUACCUCCAUACUGAUACGAUGCUUGGUCUCUGUAAAACGAGUUCCUUCACAAUACAGGAGAAACCACAUGUAUUCAGGAUAGUCAGCCAAACGUUUUAAUCCCUCAAUAACUGUAUCUCUGUCUUCUUCCCAUUUCCUUUUGCAGAAAACAAUCUCGAGGAAGUACCAUGUCCAGCCAAUUAGGGGCACAUACAGUAGCUCUUUCUUAGCAAGAACUUUGGAACUCCCCAGCACUCCAAAGCGCUCCGUCAUAGUCCAGCCACACAAGAAGUCAAUUUCAAAGUUGUGAUUCAAGAUGAUGAUGACAUGCUCUUUCCCAAAGGUAUUCACUGUAGCCUCGUCGGAGAACAAGGUGCACUCUGUGCCCGACCACCAUUCCAGCAGCAUUACUAACUGGCUCCAAAGUGAAUAGGCAAGGCGACAGUUUACUCGGCGAUAAAACUGCUUGUUUAUGGGCCAGAGGACUAGUGUGCAUAGUUGAAUGAAGUUAAUGAUCAGUCCACUCACAACAAAGACGAACCCAAUGAGGAGGUGAACAAUGAACUGGGUCUUCAGAAAGGCAAUGAAGCCCAUGAUAACCACUCAGAAGCGUGUGCAAGGGCCGUCACUCAGAAUAACUGUCCACCACCACUGUGGACCACUUCUGGCACCUGGCAACACUCAGAGCAACAGGAGAAUUCCCAUCUCCUCCCUCCAGGAAAGUACCACUGCUUAUGUUUCAAGAGAUUUGCUUUCUCAUUUGCCUGCGGUCCCCGCCGCCUCCUCGGGAAGAGCCGCCCGCGCCCGGCUCAGCCUCCAGCCCCGGCCUCGCCCGCCUCCGCCUGCUGCUGUCCGCGCGGCCCCCACGGCGGCGGCGGGCUGCCUGUACGCGCCGCGGCCCUCGGGAGGCGGGGAAGGGGCGAGCGGGGCGGGCGGCGGCGGCGGCGGCUCCGGCAGCCUCUCUCAUGGAGUGCGGCAGCCCCAGCUGUCGCCGCCGCUGCUCCCCGCAGCCGCUACUUCCUGUGCGGCGAUGGUUCAGUUCCUCCCGGGCCGCUGGGGGCAGGAGAGCCGGGCGGCGUGGAGCGGAGGAGGAAGAUCGGGGCAGAGCGCGGGGCUGCGGUGCCGCAGCUCCCCCCGCUACGCACUGGAGCCGGCGCCCCAGCCCACCCCGCCGCCCGAGCCCCCUUCCCCCGACGCGGCCGCAAGGGGGCGCCACCGCUCCCGCCCCGCGGAGGCCGAUGGCGGCCGCGCUGAUGGGAGCGCGAAGGCGGCAGCGCGAGGGAUCGAUAAAGGAGAUUCUCCUCAGCGCAGGAAACCGCUGCGUAACGCUGUGAAGAAGUGAGGGUACCGGGCUGGAGCUGCAGGGAGGAGAAGCGCUAAAGGACGCACCUCUCUUGCGUGCCGUGCAAGGGACAAGCCUAUGAAGCCUUCCAGACUAGAACACCAGGAUCUGAAGUUACCUUUCUUUGUGCCGACGUGUGUUUUGACUUCUGAAGCUGAGGAGAGCUCGCAGCUCUCAAAGCCCUGUCAUCAAAACUGUGUGUGGUCGUCGCCUCUGGAAAUCGGUUCACCCCACGUGGAUCCACAAUGCAGGUUUUGCGUUAGGCAGCGAUACUGGAGAGCAGCAGCCAGAGUGCACCCGGGGUCAUGGGAAUAAAGCAGCCGCUCCCCUCAGCGGUCAUGGAGAGACCUCGGGGGGAAAACCGUUUUUAUCGGCUACUGAGGCUCUGAACGCUCCUCUCUUUCCCUUGCGCUCUGUGGCAUUCAGACCAUGCUAACUCGACCUACUUUAGAUACCGCUCGCUGAGCUUUUCCAAAUGCUUAUGUUCUGUGUUUACUUAAGGUGCUAUUAAAUCCUUUAUCGGCUGUUUUACUGUUGCAGGAUUCGCUCCAGCCGUGUGCGAAUUCCAGUACGAGGCAGAGGCUCUGCUCGAGGUCAGGUGUGUGUGGUGCUUUCCAUCCUCCCCUCUCCAUGCCUCCCCCAGCUCAGCCUCUCCCUGCCAGCUCUGACAGCCCUAUCUAAUGCUGCUCAGCCCAUGCCGGCUUGUCCAAUCACAACACCUUUGGCUGCUCUCCUGUCCUGCUGUAUCUUUAGAGCAGGCUGCCAUAAACUCGGGCAGCCCUGGCAGCUUCCUGAAGAGCAUCACAGGUGAUUUCAGACCCCUGCGUGUACCAUUCCCCUGAGGGUCCCAGUGCUGAGCCUCAAUUUGCCUUCAAGUUACCAGCUUCCUGGUUUGGCACAAAGAGAAUAGGGGUAUCGCACAUUAUGCAGCUUACAUUUUUCCCUAAAAGAGCGUUUACUAUACCUCACAAACCUGUUUCCGAACAAGAAAUGAUCACUCAAGGAAAUGACCUAAUAGAAGCAGCUCGCCACAGUCUAUUGUAAAAACAGAGCGGGACACAAUUCCUCCAAGUCAGGAUCAUUUUCAGAUUGUAUUGCUAGCAGGAAGUCUAUUCAGCUUGACUAACCAGUUCAUGGUCCACUCAACUUUUAACUACAGAAUAGAGCAAACAUCCUACUUCUGUUACAUAGUAGUGGUUCUUCUGUGCAGUGUUUACCCGCUUGUAACGUAAUGUAAUGCAGUCUCUGCUGAAGUCUGCCUAAGUAUCGUGUAUAGAACAAUCAAAUUAUGAGAACUGAAAUCUGAAAGAAGGAGAUAUAUUAGCCUGAGAGAUACAGAGAAACAGGGGAAAGAAAAUAACAAAACUAGGAACAGAAAUGGUGAAUAGAGAAAUAUCAUGAAAAAAGAAUAGUAGUAUCUGUAAAGAAUGCCAAGAAGUUUAUUUCCACCUCCCUGCCCAACUGCAUUCUGACAUCUCACUGGCAAGUAGUGUCUUCUCUUCCUGAGUUACUAAGACAGCUCUGUAAAGAGCUGACCAUUACCCUGGAGUGACCAUUACCCUAUUUACCCAUUAUUAUCCCCAGGCUUAAAAUGAGCUGUUCUACAAAAGCAAUGCUCACUCUGUGCAUGAAGCAAGAUGCCAAAUAAAGCAGUAUUCACUUUUUCUAUUGAGCAAAAAAAUACUUGAAACUUCAACAUGGUUGAAACCUGUUUAAGAGUAUCGGGAAAGCAUCUAUUUCGUAUCACCCCAACUGGUCUACAGCGUCUGCUGGAAAGGAAAGUUUUCACAUUGAUCCUCAAUUGUCAUUUUUUUUUCUUCUGAAAAUAUGAAUAGAAUUAUGAGAUACAGACUUUCUCUCCGUUUCAAGAGGUAAUGGGCUUAAGUGUGUCAGGGAAGUUCAGAUUGGACAUUAGGAAACAUUUCUUUUCAGAAAGAGCGGUGAGGCAGUGGCACAGGCUGCCCAGGGAGGUGGUGGAGUCACCGUCCCUGGAGGUGUUCAAGAGCCGUGUGGAUGAGGCACUGAGGGACGUGGGCAGUGGGCAUGGUGGGGAUAUAUUGGUGUUUGGAUUAGAUCAGGCAUGUCCAACCUGUGGCCAAACACAAUUCACAAUGUGGCCACCCUCUGUGUUACUGUGUUCAUUGUAUCUGUUGUAUUUUCCACAGAAAUAAAUUGUAGGUGUUACUUUCAGAGCAGCCUACUGAUACGCAGCCCUAGACAAUUCCUCUUCACUCAGUGCAGCCCAGGCAAGCCAAAAGCUUGGACAUCCAUGUUCUAGAUAACCU
rnacentral:lncRNA from 1 species